rnacentral:tRNA from 1 species
GCGGGAGUAGCUCAUUUGGUAGAGCGAUAGCCUUCCAAGCUAUAGGUCGCGAGUUCGAGCCUCGUCUCCCGCU